rnacentral:rRNA from 1 species
GUAACGCGUGGGUAACCUGCCUUGUACUGGGGGAGUAGCAGCUGGAAACGGCUGGUAAUACCGCAUAAGCGCACAAUGUUGCAUGACAUGGUGUGAAAAAACUACCGGUGGUAUAAGAUGGACCCGCGUCUGAUUAGCUAGUUGGUGAGAUAACAGCCCACCAAGGCGACGAUCAGUAGCCGGACUGAGGGGUUGAACGGCCACAUUGGGACUGAGACACGGCCCAGACUCCUACGGGAGGCAGCAUG